UACGUAGGUGGCGAGCGUUAUCCGGAAUUACUGGGUGUAAAGGGUGUGUAGGCGGGUAUUCAAGUCAGGCGUGAAAAUCAUGGGCUUAACCCAUGACUUGCGCUUGAGACUGUAUAUCUUGAGUGUGGGAGAGGUAAGUGGAAUUCCUAGUGUAGCGGUGAAAUGCGUAGAUAUUAGGAGGAACACCGGUGGCGAAGGCGACUUACUGGACCAUAACUGACGCUGAGACACGAAAGCGUGGGGAG
rnacentral:rRNA from 1 species